rnacentral:rRNA from 2 species
AGACCCGAAACCCGGUGAUCUAGCCAUGGGCAGGUUGAAGGUUGGGUAACACUAACUGGAGGACCGAACCGACUAAUGUUGAAAAAUUAGCGGAUGACCUGUGGCUGGGGGUGAAAGGCCAAUCAAACCGGGAGAUAGCUGGUUCUCCCCGAAAGCUAUUUAGGUAGCGCCUCGUGAAUUCAUCUCCGGGGGUAGAGCACUGUUUCGGCUAGGGGGUCAUCCCGACUUACCAACCCGAUGCAAACUGCGAAUACCGGAGAAUGUUAUCACGGGAGACACACGGCGGGUGCUAACGUCCGUCGUGAAGAGGGAAACAACCCAGACCGCCAGCUAAGGUCCCAAAGUCAUGGUUAAGUGGGAAACGAUGUGGGAAGGCCCAGACAGCCAGGAUGUUGGCUUAGAAGCAGCCAUCAUUUAAAGAAAGCGUAAUAGCUCACUGGUCGAGUCGGCCUGCGCGGAAGAUGUAACGGGGCUAAACCAUGCACCGAAGCUGCGGCAGCGACGCUUAUGCGUUGUUGGGUAGGGGAGCGUUCUGUAAGCCUGUGAAGGUGGCCUGUGAGGGUUGCUGGAGGUAUCAGAAGUGCGAAUGCUGACAUAAGUAACGAUAAAGCGGGUGAAAAGCCCGCUCGCCGGAAGACCAAGGGUUCCUGUCCAACGUUAAUCGGGGCAGGGUGAGUCGACCCCUAAGGCGAGGCCGAAAGGCGUAGUCGAUGGGAAACGGGUUAAUAUUCCCGUACUUGGUGUUACUGCGAAGGGGGGACGGAGAAGGCUAUGUUGGCCGGGCGACGGUUGUCCCGGUUUAAGCGUGUAGGUGUGUGUUCCAGGUAAAUCCGGUU